rnacentral:rRNA from 1 species
CCCGCUGAACUUAAGCAUAUCAAUAAGCGGAGGAAAAGAAACUAACAAGGAUUCCCCUAGUAACUGCGAGUGAAGAGGGAAAAGCUCAAAUUUAAAAUCUGGCGGUUUCACGUGUCCGAGUUGUGAUUUAUAGAAGUGUUGCCCGCGCUGGACCGCGUACAAGUCUCCUGGGACGUAGCGUCAUAUAGGGUGAGAAUCCCGCCUUUGACACGGACUACCACGGCUCUGUGGUACGCUCUCGAAGAGUCGAGUUGUUUGGUAAUGCAGCUCUAAAUGGGUGGUAAAUUCCCUCUAUCGCUAAAUAUUGGCGAGAGACCGAUCGCUAACGAGCACCGAGAGGGAAAGAUGAAAAGAACUUUGUAUAGAGAGUUAAACAGUACGUGCAAUUGUUGAAAGGGAAACUCUGAAAGUUCGGUCGCGUCUGUUAGGAAUCAGCGUUGGUUCUCCUUGGUGCACGUCCUAGUCGACGGGUCAACAUCACUUUUGACCGUGGGAUAAAAGUCAAGGCAACGUGACACCUUCGGGUGAGUCAUACCCUUCGAUCGUAGGCAACGGUUGAGAAAGAUGCGAACACGACACGCCGAAAGCCCGGCUCUUGUACCACAUUCAUGCUUAGGAUGUUGGCAUAAUGGCUUUAAUCGACCCGUCUUGAAACACGG